UCCUGUAUUCUAAAGUCAUUGUGGGCUUUCCGUGCUCUGGUCAUGGGUCCUCCAAGGAGAGGAUGCCGAAAGCCUUUUCCCUGUUUGGAAUGUCCACUCCUGCCCCUGCCAAACUGUGAUGCUUUCAAACA